rnacentral:rRNA from 1 species
GAACCGUCCAAACGUUUAUUCGGAAUCAUUGGGCUUAAAGGGUGCGUAGGCGGCGUGGUCAGUUGGGUGUGAAAUCCCUCGGCUCAACCGAGGGACUGCGCCCAAUACUGCCACACUCGAGGGAGACAGAGGUAAGCGGAACUGAUGGUGGAGCGGUGAAAUGCGUUGAUAUCAUCAGGAACACCAGUGGCGAAGGCGGCUUACUGGGUCUCUUCUGACGCUGAGGCACGAAAGCUAGGGGAGCGAACGGGGGAUUAGAUACCCCGGUAGUCCUAGCUGUAAACGAUGAGCACUUGAUCGGAGACUCCUCCAUAGGUUUCCGGUCGUAGCGAAAGUGUUAAGUGCUCCGCCUGGGGAGUAUGGUCGCAAGGCUG